rnacentral:rRNA from 1 species
CCUACGAGAGGCAGCAGUGGGGAAUAUUGCACAAUGGGCGCAAGCCUGAUGCAGCAACGCCGCGUGAGGGACGAAGGCCUUCGGGUUGUAAACCUCUUUUAGUAGGGAAGAAGCGAAAGUGACGGUACCUGCAGAAAAAGCACCGGCUAACUACGUGCCAGCAGCCGCGGUAAUACGUAGGGUGCAAGCGUUGUCCGGAAUUAUUGGGCGUAAAGAGCUCGUAGGCGGUUUGUCGCGUCUGCUGUGAAAACCCGAGGCUCAACCUCGGGCCUGCAGUGGGUACGGGCAGACUAGAGUGCGGUAGGGGAGAUUGGAAUUCCUGGUGUAGCGGUGGAAUGCGCAGAUAUCAGGAGGAACACCGAUGGCGAAGGCAGAUCUCUGGGCCGUAACUGACGCUGAGGAGCGAAAGCAUGGGGAGCGAACAGGAUUAGAUACCCUGGUAGUCCAUGCCGUAAACGUUGGGAACUAGAUGUGGGGGCCAUUCCACGGCUUCCGUGUCGCAGCUAACGCAUUAAGUUCCCCGCCUGGGGAGUACGGCCGCAAGGCUAAAACUUAAGGAAUUGACGG